GCCCCCGUUGUCUAAUGGUUAUGAUAUCAGACUUCUAUCUACCAUGAGGAAUGCAUCGAGAAUCUGAAGGUUGCGGGUUCGAGUCCCGCCGGGGGUU